UACGUAGGGGGCAAGCGUUAUCCGGAUUUACUGGGUGUAAAGGGAGCGUAGACGGUGAUGCAAGUCAGAAGUGAAAGCCCGGGGCCCAACCGCGGGACUGCAUUGGAAACUGCGCAGCUGGAGUGCCGGAGGGGUAAGCGGAAUUCCUAGUGUAGCGGUGAAAUGCGUAGAUAUUAGGAGGAACACCAGUGGCGAAGGCGGCUUACUGGACGAUGACUGACGCUGAGGCUCGAAAGUGUGGGGAGCAAACAGG
rnacentral:rRNA from 1 species